AUGAGGAAGCAGGUGUCCUUUCUCGAGAAGGAUUUGAGCACUAUAAACGCUACCCUUGAGCUGCUAGAGCUCAAGGAUGAGCUCCCUUCAGGAGUAAAAAAAUGGAGGGACGAUGUAAGGGAGAUUUCCUAUGACACGGAGAAUUGCAUUGAUGACUUCAUGCGCCAAUUUGGAGGUGAGGAUGUUGAGUUGGGCUUCACUGGGGACACUGCUGAAACCCACACGAGGUUCUGUGAGCUUCAUCGGAUUGCCAGCCAGAUUGAAGAGCUUAGGACCCUUGUGGCAGAAGCAAAUGCUCGACAUGAGAAUUACAAGAUUGAUUACUUCAAGCCUAGCUAUGCAUUUGUGGCUCUCGACCCUCGGCUGCCAGCAGUCUUUCAAGAGGCAACCAACCUUGUGGGCAUUGACGGCCCAAGGGAGGAGGUUGCCAAUUGGUUGAUGGAUCCUAAGAAAAAACUCAAGGUUGUGUCUGUUGUGGGUUUUGGAGGUCUGAGUAAAACUACACUUGCCAAACUGGUCUUUGAAAAGAUCAAGGGGCAAUUUGAUGCUGUGGUGUUUUUUCCAGUUUCGCAGAAGCCUGAUAUGAGUGUGCUUCUCAAUCGCCUGCAACUAAAACUUCGGAUAAAAGAGUCGUCGCACAGUCGCGGGCUUGAAGACAUCAUUGAAGAGCUAAGGACGUACCUUGAAAAGAAAAGGUAA
rnacentral:rRNA from 1 species